rnacentral:rRNA from 1 species
AAAAAAGGUAAGCUACUAAGAGCGAAUGGUGGAUGCCUUGACUGGUAAAGGCGAUGAAGGACGUACUAGACUGCGAUAAGCUACGGGGAGCUGUCAAGAAGCUUUGAUCCGUAGAUUUCCGAAUGGGGCAACCCAAUGUAUAGAGAUAUACAUUACCUAUAUAGGAGCGAACGAGGGGAAUUGAAACAUCUUAGUACCCUCAGGAAAAGAAAUCAAUAGAGAUUGCGUCAGUAGCGGCGAGCGAAAGCGCAAGAGGGCAAACCCAGUGCUUGCACUGGGGGUUGUAGGACUGCAAUGUGCAAGAGGUAAGUUUAGCAGAACAUUCUGGAAAGUAUAACCAUAGAGGGUGAUAGUCCCGUAUGCGAAAAACAAACCUUAGCUAGCAGUAUCCUGAGUAGGGCGGGACACGAGGAAUCCUGUCUGAAUCCGGGUCGACCACGAUCCAACCCUAAAUACUAAUACCAGAUCGAUAGUGCACAAGUACCGUGAGGGAAAGGUGAAAAGAACUGAGGUGAUCAGAGUGAAAUAGAACCUGAAACCAUUUGCUUACAAUCAUUCAGAGCCCUAUGUAGCAAUACAGGGUGAUGGACUGCCUUUUGCAUAAUGAGCCUGCGAGUUGUGGUGUCUGGCAAGGUUAAGCAAACGCGAAGCCGUAGCGAAAGCGAGUCUGAAUAGGGCACUUAGUCAGAUGCUGCAGACCCGAAACGAAGUGAUCUAUCCAUGAGCAAGUUGAAGCUAGUGUAAGAACUAGUGGAGGACUGAACCCAUAGGCGUUGAAAAGCCCCGGGAUGACUUGUGGAUAGGGGUGAAAGGCCAAUCAAACUUCGUGAUAGCUGGUUCUCUCCGAAAUAUAUUUAGGUAUAGCGUUGUGUCGUAAUAUAAGGGGGUAGAGCACUGAAUGGGCUAGGGCAUACACCAAUGUACCAAACCCUAUCAAACUCCGAAUACCUUAUAUGUAAUCACAGCAGUCAGGCGGCGAGUGAUAAAAUCCGUCGUCAAGAGGGAAACAACCCAGACUACCAGCUAAGGUCCCUAAAUCUUACUUAAGUGGAAAACGAUGUGAAGUUACUUAAACAACCAGGAGGUUGGCUUAGAAGCAGCCAUCCUUUAAAGAAAGCGUAAUAGCUCACUGGUCUAGUGAUUUUGCGCGGAAAAUAUAACGGGGCUAAAGUAAGUACCGAAGCUGUAGACUUAGUUUACUAAGUGGUAGGAGAGCGUUC